GGUGAUACAACACUUUUACCGUCGCAACCAUUUUAUGCACUCUCGGAAUUUGAAGAGUUUGAUGCAAAACUUUCAACUGAUCAUGCAAUUAAAGCUGCAUUCAAAAAAAUGAUUCUGAGAAUUGGUGGCGAAUCUGAAACGUUUUUCCUUAAAAUGGCCAUUAGGAGCAUUAUUUCGGAUGAAUUAGCAAUGGGUUUGUCUUGGCGCGGUACGGUUGACAAACCAAGUAUCCAAAAAUACAACACAUUUGCGAUUAUAAAAGAUAUCUGCUUUUCUAAGUUUUGCAAUGUGACCGACGUUGACAUCAACAAAACUUGCCAACAACAUUUUCUUCACGCAAAGGGCAGAGUAUUGAAAAGACAAAAAAGGAACUACCUAAAUUAAUUGUGUAUAUUAUUUAGUAUUAGCUUUUUUAUGAUUUUGUUAUAAGUUUUUAUUUAUCUUUAAAUUAGUGUGUAUUAAACUUUAAUACAAAUAAACUUGGUUAAAAAUACCGUAUCAGAGGAAACAGAUUGUUAUCGACUGCAUUAGGUGGGCAUGGUCGGCCAUGGCUUGUUUUCUUUGG